CAGAAUAUCUACUGCUGCCACAUGCAUGCUGUCAUUGACACUUUGGAUUGCAUGAGGCUGGAUUUUAGGUUGGUGACUGGCUCCCCCUAAACACUGAAAUGAUUGAUGAAAUCAGGUGCCAGCUGGAGUUCUGGUUCCAGGGAAAGCCUGAGGAUGUGAUCCUGAUGCACUGCAAGGCUCAGAAACCAGAUGCCAAACAAGAAGCCAAACCGUGUUGCCAUUUUUAAAUAUCCAACGUUUUAAGGGAGCCUUAUGCUCUGGGUCCUCAGCCAUGAUUUCUGAGUGUGGGAGAGCUUCACAUUUCAUGGACACAAAGGCAAAUAAAGACUUCAGGAGUGCUAAUAUUCCCUAUCUCCCCUCUCUUGCGUACUUGUUUCUGAUUUUCAUCCUGCGUGUGCUUUGCUUUCCACAUUGUGAGUACUCACAUUCCUCUCAGUGGUAAAGAAAAACACACAAAUAAAUCUUUGCUAGGACGGAGCAGAUUUUAAAUCAAAACUUUGCAUAAAGUGCUGUCAAGGCUUUAAACUCUUCCAUCUGUUAUUAUAU